AUAGGAAGGCAUAUCUCUGUGAGUUCGAGGCCAGCCUGGUCUACAGAAUGAGUUCCAGGACAGCCAGAGCUACACAGAGGAAACCCUGUCUCAAAAA
rnacentral:miRNA from 1 species